AGGUAUUCCCCCCAGGAACGCAAGUUUCAGACAUCAAGAAUGUUCUUGUGGUUUAUUAUCUAGGCCCAUACGAUUACUAAACAUUUACUUUGCUAGUUGAAGUAUGAGUCAUGUAGAGUACAGUCUAUUCACCUUAUUUCCAACGGAAAUAUGGACGUAGUCUGUUUAGUUUUUUUGUGUGGGUGACUUCCGGUUAAGCACUUCCGGACAACAGUUAGCUAGCAAGUUACAUAUCUCACUGUCGCUUCUUACAGCUUCCCAAAUAUGGACUCACGAAAAACAGGCAUUUUAUGAUCGGUAAGGGGAUGCCACAAUAACUGGCAGAAACGGAAGCUGUUCAUGGAACAGGAGUGUUUUGACCGCCUAACUUUUUUGAGAGGGUAGUGCAGUUGUGAGGCGCCUUUUGAUUUGCACCCGCCUCCUAAGGGCGAGUAGUCUCAUAGGAUUUGGCUCAGAGCUUUGAACUUGAAGAAACCUCCAAACAUAAAUAAAAAUAAAAUUAAACCUCCAAACCGACCCUAUAUGUGUUCCUAUCACUUCGUGGACAAGAUGCCGACUGAAGAGCAUCCUUUCACUGAGAAGUGGCUGGGCUAUGAUGCUCCAGUACAGAUCAGAAGGCGACAUCUCAUCAGUACAUCAACACAUACAGGUACAGUAGCUGUUAGCUAGCUGCUAACGUUACUCGCUAGCUAUCGUCACAGAUAAGGUAUCCUGAAUCAGGCAGACGUUAGCUAGCUUAGCUAACUGUGUUAGUAGUACGUAGGUAGCCAUUCCUAAGUCCUAACAUACUGUAGCAAGCUAACUGUUGCCUAGUUUACUUACUUAGCUUGGGGGCAGCCCAUCUGAUGUUGUUGCUAGCUAAUUAGCUCAUCCCCUACAUUGUCAGACAGAAGUUGUUGGAUAACUAACAAUGUCUCACCAAUGCAAUAAUUAUCCCCAUCAUUGCUGGCAUUCCACUGGUGAUGCUCAUGAAAUGUCUAGCUAGCUAAAUUAUUAAACGUUCAAAUUGUUUUCUUUCUUUUAACCUAACCAUAACCAGUAGGCUGUCUGUGGAUUUUAUUUUGUUAAACUUGUGGUCUCUCUUAUACUCAAUGGGAAUGUUCCAGCACUGACUGAUCACAGCUAAGUGUCAAGAGAACCAGUCAACAAGCCCACCUGCCACUAACAAACCCAAUGUGGUGGUGCAGAGUCAUUGACCCACACCAUCCUGAAGAAUGACACUAGCUCAGUGUUGGAUACUGGCCUUCCUCUUAGUGUUUUCUUUGACCAUGUAGCAUUUCUGCAGAAAUUAUACACGGCUAACUUAAAAAUGCAUAUCACUGAUCAAAUACUGAUAACCUUGAUGAAGCUGAAUUGACUCCACAGUGAUCUUGCUGAACACUUUGCUGUGUCCCAGGGAGUAGUGAGCAGAGUCAUUUUCUACUGGAUUGAGACAAUGGAGGAGCUCAUGAGGAUCUACAUUCCAUGGCAGCUGAGAGGCAGAUGCAGUGACAAGUUCAUCACCCAAAACUCUGGCUUCCUGGAAUACCUUAGGCCUGGCAAUGAAGUAAUGGCUGACGGGCUUCACCAUCCGAGAUCUGCUGUAUGAGAGUAAGGUAAACCUUGCCAUACCAGCCUUCACCCAGAAAGGAGGACAGCUGUCUGACGAGGAUGUCGCAAGCACAAGAAGGAUAGCUAAUGUGCAUAUACAUGUUGAGAGAGUUAUCAGACUCAAGGUGUUCAAAUCCUCUCCCAGACUGUGUCCAUUUUUUGUGUCAGGUUGAUGGGAAAAGUCCUUAGAAUCUGUGCAGCACUUGUUAACAUGCAGAGUGAGAUCAUCCAUGAGGAUGCAGAAUGAGCAGUGAGAAUGUUCAUACAUUUGAAAUGUAACUUUAAACACUAUAAUUUCAUCCACCAGAGAUACUAUGUGUGUGUGUAUGUAUAUAUAUAUAUAUAUAUAUAUAUAUUAGUUUAAUCUGAAUGAUUUGUUCCUAUAUUUGAAAUGUACUGUAACUUUGACUGUUCCUGAUAAUUACAGGCAUCCACUAGGUGCUGCUAUAAUGCCUUUUUAAAUCUAUUUCAAAUACAUUUUCUUCAACACAAAUGUCACUAACAGACCAAGAGGGAAGACAAAUGUUUGUCAAGUGACACAAUUUUUCUUAAUUUGUGCCCUUGAAAACCAAACCCAGAAUCAAACUGAAAACACUUUUGAAUACUUUAGACAUGCCUCCUCAUCUUUCUUUUCAAAAUGGUAAGUAUCAAAGAAAAUGUCAAUGUGGAAUUUCUUGUUUUUAUUAACUCCGUAAUUUGCUAAGUGCAAGAUGAGUUACGGUAUGCUUAGAUAAGUUAACGAAGUGCCGUAUGCAAAAAGAGCUAUACAAGGUACGAUUAAAAUAUUCAUAAAUCAGAA